CAAGGUGGGAUCUGGGGCAGCAGCAGCUCCCGGGGCAGCACUGGGGCCGAGGGUCAGCGUGAGGGGAGCGCAGGGCUGCCUCAGUUACGACUGCAUCUCGUGUAGCCAAGACUACUAUACGUAGCUGAAUGGCUCAGGAAGUUUAUAUGCCAAGUGGAGAACACCAAGGCACAUUUUCAUGACAGGAGAAGGUGUCUCCAUGGAAGCUGGUAAGGAUUACAGCAAGGAGGCACACUAAAAAGCAACUUCAGCAUGCCUUUGAAAAGAAAGGAACAAAUUCCCUGCAAGACUCCUGUGCUGGGACUCUGAAGAGAAUUGCUGGACUCUGUCUGCCUUCUGCCUGGGAAAAUUCUGAGCCCAGUGAACAGUGCAAGUAGAGACAGCUCUUCCAGUUCUGUCCACAGAAGGAAAGAUGAGCUUCUUGUUCUGCUGUUCUCCUCCACCGUGCAGUGACACACAUUAUAUAGUUUAUCUGUCAUAUAUACUCUGUUCUCAAUAGGUUACAAAUUCCCUACUGCUGGUUUGCAGCUACUGAGAUGUUUGGUCCUGUAAGUUGUUCAAAGCUCCUGUAAACAAAUAUAUUUUAAGAAGCAGACAUCUAUGCUCUAUGACUUAUCUGUGAAAC